rnacentral:rRNA from 1 species
CCAGCAAUGCCGCGUGAGUGAUGAAGGCCUUAGGGUUGUAAAGCUCUUUUACCAGGGAUGAUAAUGACAGUACCUGGAGAAUAAGCUCCGGCUAACUCCGUGCCAGCAGCCGCGGUAAUACGGAGGGAGCUAGCGUUGUUCGGAAUUACUGGGCGUAAAGAGUACGUAGGCGGUGAUUCAAGUCAGAGGUGAAAGCCUGGAGCUCAACUCCAGAACUGCCUUUGAAACUAGAUCGCUAGAAUUGUGGAGAGGUUAGUGGAAUUCCGAGUGUAGAGGUGAAAUUCGUAGAUAUUCGGAAGAACACCAGUGGCGAAGGCGACUAACUGGACACAUAUUGACGCUGAGGUACGAAAGCGUGGGGAGCAAACAGGAUUAGAUACCCUGGUAGUCCACGCCGUAAACGAUGAUAAC